CUUAACAUGAGCCUAGCUCUAAUAACUUAUAUGUCAUAUCACUCAUAUGUACGUACAUAUAAAACCAAAUUCAAAGUUCCUCCGAGUUUCAGAAGCUCACUUACAAUAUGCAAGAUCGAUGGAACAAUUACCUAUAAAUUAACGAGAUCACGCAUUAAUGCCUGAAUACACGAAGACGUCUAGUGGGUGAAACCGUGAGAGUGGCCCUAGUGGGACUGCAUCGGAGGACAUGCCAAAAGAACACCGACCUCCAUAUUUGAAAGCUUUAGGGUCCUUGACAAAGAGAAGGAUAUUUAUGGAAUUUCGAUGUCACAGGCAGGCGGAAAGUGACGGCCGCAGCUACUUGCUACCUCCACUAGAUAGUGGUUUCCUUAAAAAACGACGAGCCAAUGGAGUAAAAACGGUCGGACUCAGACAUACAGCUUGGCAUCUCCCGACUCCUGAGCCGCCACCGUCAAGCAUUCUCAAUAGCAAUUGCAGAGAUGAAAGCAAAUUUAACCUUCACCUUGGCUCUUCCAAAUUAAUUAAAAUGGCUUUGUUGAUCUCAGUUCAGUAAGCAUAGACUGGCUGGAGUGCAAGUACUGGUUCUUGGUGGGUUGUCUCUUCAUCGAUAUAUAUAUCAACCUUUCGAGAAGAAGGUAUACAUGCAUUCAUGUCUGAGAUGCAAAAACUACGGUGAUUAGGGAGCCAGUUGCAAUUUCAGAAAAGGAAGAUGAUUGCUUUUGUUUUCUUUCUACUAGGAUUAAGGAAUGCCAUGGGAUUGAAAGAAAACGAUAUAGCAUACACUACAAGAAAAAUAGUCUAUGACAACAUCAUAUUUACAACAUGCUGUAAAUGCUCGUUGUCAUCUCUAAUAUUCUACAACAUGCGCAGAAAGAGUGUUGUAUUAAAUUAUUUACCACUACAUGCGUCAUUUGCAUGUUGUUAAUUUCGUUAUCGAUAACUCAGUUUGCACGUUGUUGUCUACUUGUUGUCAAUUAAUGUAUCAACAAGUAGGAGUGCAUGUUGUUAAAUAUUUUCAAAACAACAACGUGCAGCUAACGCGGUCGAAACUUUGAGAUAAAAGAUUAAAAAAAAAAAAAAAACAAAAGGGCCUGUUGACUAAAGUCAGUAAAAAAAAGAAGCAUCAGCUCUCUAAAUCCAUCAUAGACCCAAAACAUAUAAAAUCCUGGGCUUGAAGAAUUGAGCUCUGAAGCUCUCAAUUCUCAAACCCUAAACCGCCCGAAACGAUCGCUUCCCUCCGUCGUCACUCUCAAUUGGAUCGACGACUUCACUAUGGAGCAAGACUGCUUGUCCGGCGUCGCCGCCGUCGAGCACGUCCUGCUUAGCCGACGGCAGGGUCGAGUUUGCCUUUGGCUGAGCUCCUCCAAUCCCUCCCGUAGUCCCAUACCUCCCAAGCGCCGCCCAGCGUCGGCUACGUCCUUACUAGUUCAUCCUCUGCCUCGGCUCCGUCGACCGCGCCACUGACUCCGCCGACCUCGGUUGUCAAUCUCUAAUGCAUUUCCGGCGUUACGGCUACGAAGUUUGAGGUACAGUUUCUGUCAAGAUGGAGAAACAAUGGCUGCAAUUUGAUAGAGAAAAGGAACAGACAAAGAAGAGGAAAAGAGGUGAUGAAGAACAGAAAAAGAAGGGGAAAAAGAAGAGGAGGAAGUGGACCAAUCAAUGCUCCAAGCAAUGAUCUUGAAAAUAGCAGAUGUGCACUUUUGAAUUGGAACAAUUAUGAAGAAGAUGAAGUGGUAGCUGAAGGAAUGAUCUCUUCAACAAAUCCAAGUACAAAAGUUCAUUGUGUGCCUCUUGGACGAAAUUGUUGGAAGGUUUGGGUUGAUGUGGUGUUUGAUGAGUAUCAGACUAUGGAAGUGUACAGAUUAACCAUGGAUGCCAAACAACUUGGUGAAGCUAUAGGAAGCACUCUUGCAUGGCCCAAAAGCUCCAUUGAAAUGCUUCCUUAGUAGUUGAAGUAGCAGGUACAUUUUGCUUUACUAGAGAAUUUAUGUAGGUCAGGAAGUACCAUGCAUGUUUUGUCAAUGCUGGUGAACAAAGAAUCCAGUACUUUGUCAUGCAUGUUUUGUAAAGAACAUAUGUAUAAGAGAAUGUGGCACUCCUAAUGAAAUGUAUAUUUUUCAUA